AUCCUUUUUUGGUUCAUAAUCAUGAUUGGGUGCUCACAAGCUGUGUGAUAUGUUUUUCCCUUAAAUCUUGUCAUGCAUUUGGCAUAUUACCCAUCUCACG